ACUUGUCCGCAGAUUGUCAGCUUACCUCAGUGGUAUUGGCACUGCAGCCUACAAGUCUCGAGUUGUAUAUUGUGUUGUUUGUUUCUUGUGAGAUCACUUACCUUGUCUCUCUGUGCUCAGGACCACUGCCUGCCUGGAAACUCUGCCACUGCCUCACCCAGCUCCCUGCCUGUCUGGAAAUCCUGCCCCUGCCUAGCUCAGCUCACUGCCCUGGAACGCCACUUGAAGUCGGAUUUCCUACUUGUGAGCUCGGAGAAAAGAUAUGUACCCCCAAAACAAUGGCAGGCCCCAUGGAAGCAUACACUGUAAAUGGCUCCUCUUCCUGGGUGUUAGGCCAACAUAUUUGCUUGGUCUCUUCGGCGUCCGUGUGUGGGAGGAUUCCCCUUCUCCGGGCCGUACGCCAGUCUUCCUUCGCUGCCCGGCGCGGGAUCAGCCUCCUUCUCCUGGCUGUCUUGCCUCUCAGCGAUUAGUUGAGUUGCCUCUUAGUGAUCGUUCGGCUGCUCCUUUAGUGUUAGAUUUAAUAAAUUUUUAGCUGGA